rnacentral:rRNA from 1 species
CCCGCAAGGGAUCAGUAGAGUGGCAAACGGGUGAGUAACGCGUGGGCGACCUACCUUCGAGUGGGGGAUAACCUUCCGAAAGGAGGGCUAAUACCGCAUGACAUUCCGUGUUUGGACACACGGGUAUCAAAGCCGGGGAUCGCAAGACCUGGCGCUUGAAGAGGGGCCCGCGUCCGAUUAGCUAGUUGGUGGGGUAAUGGCUCACCAAGGCUCCGAUCGGUAUCCGGCCUGAGAGGGCGGACGGACACACUGGGACUGAGACACGGCCCAGACUCCUACGGGAGGCAGCAGUGGGGAAUUGUUCGCAAUGGGCGCAAGCCUGACGACGCAACGCCGCGUGGAGGAUGAAGACCUUCGGGUCGUAAACUCCUUUCGACCGAGAUGAAUUUCCGCCGGCCCAACACGUCGGCGGGGUGACAGUAUCGAGGGAAGCAGCCCCGGCUAACUCCGUGCCAGCAGCCGCGGUAAUACGGGGGGGGCAAGCGUUGUUCGGAAUUACUGGGCGUAAAGGGUCGGUAGGUGGCCCGCUAAGUCACACGUGAAAUCCCUCAGCUCAACUGGGGAACUGCGUGUGAGACUGGCAGGCUCGAGGGCAGGAGAGGAACGCGGAAUUCCAGGUGUAGCGGUGAAAUGCGUAGAUAUCUGGAGGAACACCGGUGGCGAAGGCGGCGUUCUGGACUGUCUCUGACACUGAACGACGAAAGCCAGGGGAGCAA